rnacentral:lncRNA from 1 species
ACGAACGGUACGUACGUCCAUCGCUAGCUCGCUCGCCAUGGCCUCCCUCUCCUCUGCCACCAUCACCGCCCCUUCCGCCUUCGCCGCGCCGGCCGCCCGCGCCGUGGCCAGGAGGUCGUCCUUCACCGUGCGCGCCUCUCUCGGCAAGGCCGCCGGCACGGCCGCCGUGGCCGUGGCCGCCAGCGCCCUUCUUGCCGGCGGCGCCAUGGCCCAGGAGGUGCUGCUGGGCGCAAACGGAGGCGUGCUCGUCUUCGAGCCCAGCGAGUUCACCGUCAAGGCCGGCGACACCAUCAC